rnacentral:rRNA from 1 species
UACGUAGGGGGCAAGCGUUGUCCGGAAUCAUUGGGCGUAAAGCGCGUGUAGGCGGCUCGGUAAGUCUGCUCUGAAAGUCCAAGGCUCAACCUUGGGAUGCGGGUGGAUACUGCCGGGCUCGAGUCCGGAAGAGGCGAGUGGAAUUCCUGGUGUAGCGGUGAAAUGCGCAGAUAUCAGGGGGAACACCGAUGGCGAAGGCAGCUCGCUGGGACGGUACUGACGCUGAGGCGCGAAAGCGUGGGGAGCAAACAGG